UACGUAAGGGGCUAGCGUUGUCCGGAAUCAUUGGGCGUAAAGAGCGCGUAGGCGGCCAGAUAAGUCCGGUGUGAAAGUCACAGGCUCAACCUGUGAAUGCCGCUGGAAACUGUCUGGCUAGAGUCCGGAAGGGGCGAGUGGAAUUCCUGGUGUAGCGGUGAAAUGCGCAGAUAUCAGGAGGAACACCAAUGGCGAAGGCAGCUCGCUGGGACGGUACUGACGCUGAGGCGCGAAAGCGUGGGGAGCAAACAGG
rnacentral:rRNA from 1 species